rnacentral:rRNA from 1 species
GGCGUCGAAGCAGUGUAUGUCAGACUUCCGAGAAAAGCUCGCAAUGUCAUAAAUAAAUAAUGCCUGUACCAUAACCGACACAGGUGGGUAGGUAGAGUAUACUAAGGGGCGCGAGAUAACUCUCUCUAAGGAACUCGGCAAAAUGACUCCGUAACUUCGGGAGAAGGAGUGCCUUAUUCGUAAGGCUGCAAUAACAAGAUCCAAGCAACUGUUUAUCAAAAACACAGGUCUCCGCUAAGUCGUAAGACGAUGUAUGGGGGCUGACGCCUGCCCAGUGCCAGAAGGUUAAAGAAGUCGGUUAGCAUUAGCGAAGCUGGUAACUGAAGCCCUGGUGAACGGCGGCCGUAACUAUAACGGUCCUAAGGUAGCGAAAUUCCUUGUCGGGUAAGUUCCGACCCGCACGAAAGGCGUAAUGAUUUGGAUACUGUCUCGGAGAGGGGCUCGGUGAAAUAGACUUGUCUGUGAAGAUGCGGACUACCUGCACCAGGACAGAAAGACCCUAUGAAGCUUUACUGUAACUUGGAAUUGAAAUUGGACUUUAUUCGCGCAGUAUAGGUGGGAGGUGUUGAUUAUAAUCUUGCGGGAUUAUUGGAGCCAUCAGUGAGAUACCACUCUUGUAAUGUUAGAUUUCUAACUUUGAAUCAUUAUCUGGUCAAAGAACAGUUUCAGGCGGGCAGUUUGACUGGGGCGGUCGCCUCCUAAAUGGUAACGGAGGCGUACAAAGGUUUCCUCUGAACGGGUAGAAAUCGUAUCUAGAGUGUAAAGGCAUAAGGAAGCUUGACUGUGAGACCUACAAGUCGAGCAGGGACGAAAGUCGGUCUUAGUGAUCUGACGGUACUGAGUGGAAAGGCCGUCACUCAACGGAUAAAAGUUAUUCUAGGAUAACAGGCUGAUCUCCCCCAAGAGUUCACAUCGACGGGGAGGUUUGGCACCUCGAUGUCGGCUCAUCGCAUCCUGGGGCGGUAGUACGUCCCAAGGGUUGGGCUGUUCGCCCAUGAAAGCGGUACGCGAGCUGGGUUCAGAACGUCGUGAGACAGUUCGGUCCAUAUCCGGUGUAGGCGUUAGAAUAUUGAGAGGAGCCUUCUUUAGUACGAGAGGACCGAGAAGGACAUACCUCUGGUGUACCGGUUAUCGUGCCAACGGUAAACGCUGGGUAGCUAUGUAUGGAGUGGAUAACCGCUGAAAGCAUCUAAGUGGGAAGCCCACCUCAAGAUAAGUAUUCUCAUC